CAUAAAAAGGAUUUGUGGCUAUUUAGCUAAUGAACUUGUGGCUUCACAAUUGAGGGGGGAGAGAGUGGCUUUUUCUUUUCUUUUUUUCUUUUUUUUUUUGGUGAUGAAAAGAGAGUGGCUAUUUAGCUAAUAAACUUGCAAUGCUUUUCGACAGGAAAAACAAAAAAACAAAAAAAAACCUUUAAAUGAGCGCUUCAAUCAAAGAUUAAAAGUACUUAGAUUAAGAACUCAAACAGGGCCUUAGUGAUUCGUAUUGCCAGUCUCUUGCGCAAAAGCGAUCACCCUCUCCAUUCACUCAAAGCGAUUCAAGCAGCAGAUACUAAUCUCUGAUGUCGAUCUUCGAGUACAAUGGGAGUGCCCUGAUCGCAAUGGUGGGCAAGAACUGCUUCGCCAUUGCAAGCGAUCGAAGGCUCGGUGUUCAGCUCCAGACAAUCGCCACCGAUUUCCAGAGAAUUCAUAGAGUUCACGAUGGGCUCUUUAUCGGCCUCUCUGGUCUCGCCAUCGAUGCUUAGACCCUACCCUGUAUGUAUAUGCCCCUCUCACCUUGUUUAAUAGAAAGACAUUAACUUUUGGGUUGAUGAUGAAGGUUUCAGAGGCUUUUGUUUCGGCACAAGCUGUACCAGCUUCGUAAAGACAGAGACAUAAAGCCUGAGACUUUUGCGUCUCUGCUAUUCUUUAUGAGAAAAGCCUGUAAUUGCUGGAUUGGGAGAUGAAGGUAAGCCAUUCUUCUGCACUAUGGAUUCAACUGGAGCCAAGUAGGUUUGUUUUUUCUUUUCCCUUUCUUUUCCGACUUUUUCGCAUUUUUAGAGCUGCUGGGAUGGGAUGCUAAGGACUUCAAACAAAUUUCUUCAACCUUCCUAAGUAGAAUGCAUAUGCAUGUUUACUCGUAUUUUGAUUUUAUAUGUUUAUGUGCAUCUAUCAUUUCAUAUUGGUAUUAUUUGUCUUCUGUGUAUGCUCCCUACUAGCCAAGAUUUUGUUGUUGCUGGCACUGCAUCAGAGUCCCUUUAUGGUGCUUGUGAGGCAAUGUUCAAGUCUGAGAUGGUUUGUUGCUUUGUUCUUUCCACUGGGCAGUCAAGAUUUGUUAUUUGAUCUGCUUACAUUUUUUCGUAUUUGAGAUUUUCAUUUGAAUACACUUUAGAUGUUAUGGAAAAUCAUAUAAUUAACAUUCGAGAACUUGAAUCCAUGCUGUCACUGGCCAUGACUUUUUAAGUCUUUGUUAUUAUCACACUACUGAUAGUAGCAGAGAAAGGGUCUACAGAAUAGAAGUCAAGAAAAAACAAGCUGAGGGAUCUCCUAAGUUUUACCUUCUUGGUCCUAUAUUGUCAGCAGCCAAGUGCUUCUUGAACUAGACAUAUAUGGGGAUAAACAAUUGGCUUCCUUGCCAGAUGUGCUUGAAUAAUAAUUCGUAGGAUUUUUUGGCGCUUAACUCGUGGUAGAAUUUAUUACGCGCUAAUUAGUUAGACGUAAUUGGGUUGGUGAUUGCUGCUUUUACUUCUAAUUCUAAAUUUGGUACUCCUGUUUAUUUUCUUACUAUUUGCAGGAACUGUAAUAACAGUAUAUUUUCUAAUUAUUUAGGGAACCAGAGGAAUUCUUUGAGAUUGUUUCUCAAGCAUUGCUAUCAUCAGAUGAUCAAGAUUGUCUGAGUGGGUGGGGAGGCCAUGUCUAUGUAGUAAACACCAACUGAAGUGAAGAAGAGGAUCUUGAAGGGCAGAAUGGAUUGACCUAGCUUCCAGCAUUUACCCAACCCUUCUAAAUUUCGUUCAGGCUGCUGCAUUUUCUCCUCUCAUGUAUAUUUAUGCAGCUUUGACUUGAAUGGGCAGCCAUAAGCCUUCUUGGUGACCAAAGGUCCCCUUGUUAUGUGGUGGGUAAAGUUUAGUGUAAUUUAAUCAAGAAGACUCAGAGUUGGAUAAUCUGAUUUAUACUACACAAUUUUGUUUUUUUUGUUAUGAAAAGACAUAACAACCCAAAUUUAUUUGUUUAUGUUUUAAGCUUUGCGUCA